UGCUCGGCUCAGCCGAAUUGUCUCCGAUCAAAGCUGCAUACCGGUUUCCGACCUGUGAAAAAUCGCGCAUGAUGAAAUAACGUACAGAAAUGUCAAAUGGAUAAGGCGGUCGACAUAGCUCGACAAUAAAAAUGAUGAUGAUCUCACUUGGGUGCCGCUCCAAUUCCGAGGAUGAUGGCUGCAGGAAUAAGUGUAGCAAAAGACGGCCAGAACUGAGCGAUGAUGUAGACUGAGUAGCAGAGUUGACAGAACACCAUGGUCCACUUGCACUUGAUUGUCUUGAUGAGCCAAGUUGGGACAAACAUGCAGGAGACGAGUAAAGCAACAUAGAUGGUAGCUGAGGCUGUCGUUCCCAAUCCGGCGUCGGCAUUGAUAGAACUCUAUACGUUGACAUCAUGUUAUGUAAUACGCAUCCCGAUCAAGAACUUGUGUCAUCGAUCUCACCGGCGUCAUUCCGUCAUUCUCAUUCUGAAAGUUGGGAUUUUGAUUCUUGACUUCAGUCUGCUGCCCUACGGUCGUCUCAUUUCCAUCAGGAUAUACUCCCACUGAACAAAAAGAUAUUGAGAUGCAUAGCUACUGUUAGUCAUCCCAACAAGUUGACUUAGCGCACAGUCACUUUCCAUCCAUUAGAUCCUCAUGCUGUCAAAAGCCUAAAACUCAUGUUUGAAGCACACAUAUAGUGGUACACAAAUGUGUGGUGAUAAGGUAUUUUCCCAUGACUGCUACCACACCAACCACACUACGUCAAAUGCCUUUCCAAAUCAUCAUCCAUAUGAUAAAGCAUCAGGAAAUUUAUCCCACACGAGGAGUAAUGCAGUUGGUUGCUGUAGUUCCAUUAUCACAGUUUUUCAUCAUGAACAUUUCAGUGUGCUUCUUACAAAAGAUACCCACAGACAUCUUGGAGCCAUACCCACAGACAUCUUUGAGCCAAUGCUGGAUUUUGUCCAUCACAGAAGAGGGACUUAACCAACGUUCUGCUCCAUCCUUAUCUUCAAGACUCAUCCAGCUUCACUGCUUCAGUGCUUCUUAUGCUGCUAGUCCUGCUACACAACUUUUCGUGCUUCACUGGCGAGUUGGAUCACUUCCGUUGCUGUGACACACCUACAGUCACUCACCACGGGAUUAUCGCCAGGUAAUGCAGAGGAGACGUCGAGAAGAUGGACACCAAAACUUCGCCGGUAUCUCCAAAAU